rnacentral:tRNA from 1 species
GCAGCCGUGGCCGAGUAGUUAAGUCGAUGGGGUAGAAAGUCCAUUGGAGUCUCCACACAGGUUCGAAUCCUGUCGAGUGCG